UACGUAGGGUGCAAGCGUUUGUCCGGAAUUAUUGGGCGUAAAGAGCUCGUAGGCGGUCUGUCGCGUCGGCUGUGAAAACUCGGGGCUCAACCCCGAGCCUGCAGUCGAUACGGGCAGACUAGAGUGCUGUAGGGGAGACUGGAAUUUACGGUGUAGCAGUUGAAAUGCGUAGAGAUCGUAAGGAAGACCAGUGGCGAAGGCGGGUCUCUGGACAGUUCCUGACAGCUGAGGCAACGAAGGCCAGGGGAGCAAACGGG
rnacentral:rRNA from 1 species